GUGCCAGCAGCCGCGGUAAUACAGAGGGUGCAAGCGUUAAUCGGAAUUACUGGGCGUAAAGCGUGCGCAGUCGGUUAUUUAAGUCGGGCGUGAAAGCCCCGGGCUCAACCUGGGAAUUGCGUUCGAUACUGGAUAGCUAGAGUUCGGCAGAGGGAAGCGGAAUUUCGGGUGUAGCGGUGAAAUGCGUAGAUAUCCGAAGGAACAUCAGUGGCGAAAGCGGCUUCCUGGACCAGAACUGACGAUCAGGCACGAAAGCGUGGGGAGCAAACAGGAUUAGAAACCCUGGUAGUCC
rnacentral:rRNA from 1 species